AUUUUUUUCUAUAAACUCUCAAAAUUAUGUCACUUUUCAGUUGUUUGAAGCACCUGGGCCAGCUGCUUCCUGGUGUCAUUCCACUCCCCUCCUCCAGAGGCGAUAGUGAGGCAAACAUCAAAGUUGUUUGAAGCACCUGGGCCAGCUGCUUCCUGGUGUCAUUCCACUCCCCUCCUCCAGAGGCGAUAGUGAGGCAAACAUCAAAGUUGUUUGAAGCACCUGGACCAGCUGCUUCCUGGUGUCAUUCCACUCCCCUCCUCCAGAGGCGAUAGUGAGGCAAACAUCAAAGAGCCAUUUCCCUGGGACACUUGUUUGUCGCCGCAGAGGCCCCACCUGUGCCCACGCAAUGCUGAUUAGCGCGUGGAAAACGCGCGCGGUGACGAGCGGUCUGCGGUCCCGUGGCAUCACGAGGCCUCCUUGUGAAGAAUAAACACACAAAUGCAUCAUCCCUGACAUUCUGUGGAACAUGUACCUUCUAAUCUUCUGUUGGGAAAACAAAAAGCCUUCCUUUGUUCCUAGGAUGGAGUGUGUCAUGUUGUACAGUAUUCAUAAUAAAAUGACACCUGCCAAGGGACUGCAGUUAAAAAUCAACACUUUUGCCCAAAUAUUUAUCAAAUGAUGUGCCUUUUUAAUCAAAUAUCUGCCCCUGCUUCUUUUAAAAUGACACUUUACUAUGAAAUCAUUUAUGGAUUUUUCUUCGCAUAAAAAAACCAAGUAAAAAUAUUGACAGGAUGUUUUAUUGUUUGUGCUAUGGCGAUGAGGUGGC